GUAGGGUUUGCGGCCUUACUGGGACCCGAAUUUGAUCUAACAUGAUUGGCAUAGCCAAGCAGAUAGGUAGUCGUAAAAGCAAAACAUGGCAUGACAAACAUGUUUAGAAAAGAUUCACAUUUUCAUACUAUAAUCACGUUUUGAAAAGAAUGCCCACUUGAUAUGCUUAUUUCUCAACUCAAUUACUCGCUUUGGCCUCACUUGCCCUUGAGCAGUUUAUCAUUUGAAAAUAAAUAACGUAGCACGCUAAAUAGUACUUGAACCAUUUCUCUUGAGAAAAGAAUACAUGCAUCCUAUUGGAUAGCACCUAUAUCUUAGUCUCGUCUUAUAGAAUUUUUCUUAAUCCUACCUCGGCUUCACUACUCUGCAUAAUUUAUUUAUCUGCUUUACUAACUCUGGAGAAAUUCUACUUUCUCAAAAAAAUAAUUACUUGAGCACUUAUUAAAUAAAAAUAUGGAUUUUUGGAAAAUCCCUAUUUAAACCCUUUUUUCAGAUUUUUCUUAAGGCACCGGCCGGCUUUUGCUUCUCCCACUUCACCACUUUCCAUCUUUGGAUUCUUAAUAAAUUAUUCGGGAAUUAAUUAAUUAAGCUCCAAGCCCAAUUCUCUAAAUAAAUUCCAUCUCAACAUAAUAAAUUUCCAAGCUCAACAAUGCUAAUUCCUUGGCCCAAAUUCAUAGCACAUUCUUUCACUAGAGUUAAUUGGUCCAUUUCUAGAAUAAACUUCCAACUCACUUCUUUUAUCCACCACAUCGGGCCAUUAUUGUUCUUCAUCACUAAGGUCCAAAUCAAACAAUUAAAUGGCCCAAAUUAAAUAAAUAAGGUAGCCCAACCAUUUAAUUUGAAGUGGCCCAAGUCACAAAAUUCAUAACAUCAACCUAGUCAACUCAUCCCUUCCCCACUUCACUUUCAAUUUGCAAUCCCAGGAAAAAAAAACGGCGCAUCUCUCCCUAGCUCUCACGCCUCCUCCGGCGAAAUCGACACCGCUCCGUGUCGCCGGAGCUCGCCGGCUCCGCCUCCUCUCUCAGUUUCCCCUCUCCACUCAUUCUUUCUCUUCCGUCUCCCCUCUCCUCUCUCCUCUCUCGGCCCAGCUCACACCACCGCCGCCGCCGCUGCUGUGCGCGCCGCGGUUCACCGUCGUGGCCCUCCGUCUAUAUCUCUCUCGGGUUCCGCCGCCAACACCGAUCACCGCCGUCAACCUCCUCUCUUUCCAGAUCUGCCGCCGAGUUCCAUCUCGCGGCGAGCUCGCACCGGACCAGCCGCUAGCUCUGAGAUGAGAAUGAGCCGGUGUCGCCGCUGUCACGCGGCCGACUCCGCCGCCCUCCUGCACCCAGCCGCUGCUCCCCGAUUAGCCGCCGCCUCGCUGGCUGUCCGGCUGAAGCGCUGCGGCUCGCUGCCGCCGCCUCUGAUCCAGUGUUGUCUCCACUAAACGGUCAGCACCACCGUCGUCAUCUCCAUGGAGCUGUCACGGUGUUACCGCUAUUGGCGCAGCGGAGUCCUCUCACGGUCACCUCCGCGGCUGCUCCAUCCGUCUCCAGCUGCUCGACGAGCAGCCGCCGUCUGUCACCGUUUCACCACUGCCUCCUUCACGAUUAAGCUAAGUCCCGUUCCCCUUAGUCCCCUUGGUUUCGUUGUUCUUGCCGUUAAAUUUUUUUCCGUCUUGGCAGUAGCUAUGUGGCUUUGGAGUUUGAAUUCUAAUGUGAGAGCUACUGCAGUUAUUUGCAUAUCCUUGUUAUUGUUCAAGUCCCUUUUGUUCUCGGUUCAGGCAGCUUUUAUUGCUAUGUGAAAAAUUGCUUGUUGAGCAAAUGUUCAUUGUGGUGAGGUUCUACAAGUGUUGCUGCUGAUCCAUUAUUUGUUCUAAGAGCUAGCUACUGUUGAGGUCUUGUCUAUGGUUCUAAUGGCUCAAACCAUCUAUGAGUUUUUUUUUUCUCUAUAUGAUGCAAGAGGGUGUUGUGGAGUUACCUUGCUUGUUGACUCCUCUUGGUUCCUUGGCUGUCCCUCCUUACUCUCUUGCUCUUUCUCACUCUCAACUCUCACUAAACUUUGUUGAUUUGAAGUGUGUAGGAGGGAAGUUUGAUGUGUGUGAAGGGGUUUAUAUAGGCCAAACUUGGUGUACUUUGGGGAAUUAAAUGGGGUUGAUCCUCAUUUGUUUUCAUACAUAGCAUAUCCUCUUAUUUGAUCUCUUUGUAGUACCUUUAGUUAAGGAGUUUUGGUGGUAUUUGUAGUACUAGGUACUUAGCUAAUAACUCUCAUUUGUUUGGAUUUGUAGUACUAGGUACUUGGCUAAUGACUCUCAUUUGUUUGGAUUUGUAGUACUAGGUACUUGCUAAUAACUCUCAUUUGUUUGGAUUUGUAGUACUAUGUACUUGGCUAAUAACUCUCAUUUGUUUGGAUUUGACUUGCUCUCUUUGGUGAGUCAUUGGUCUCCUAUGGUUAAAGGAGAGUUGUCAUUUUUCCUCUAAUAGCUCUUAAAGGAGCGGGUGCUACAUAUAUUCACGAGAGGAUUGCAUAUGCAAACAUGAUUAUAGGUAUAAUCUCUGUCGGGGUGAAGAAGAAGCAAUCCAUUAGCGGCCGUGCAUUCCAUUGAUGUGAUUCCAAGAGGGGUUUCGAAAUCUGUGAGCGGAAUGUAGUGAAGAUCGUGGCUCUCCAAAUCGGCUUCGCCUUUGUCUUCAAUAUUGAAAAUCGUGCAACGAGAUGGGUUAAUUUUCAAGCAUGUGAUUGGAAGGAAGGGUGAAAGGACAGUAAUGCUCCCCUGUUAAUCUUUCUACGUACCUGGGCCUGUUUUGAUACCAUGGGACGGAAGAUGGGGUGGAAUCAUGAAAUUUGUGGUGAUUGUUUGAGCUCCAAAUUUUGAUUGAAUUUACUAACUCAGAUAUGUAAAUUUUUUAAAAAAGGUUAUUUAUACUUUUUGUCA